rnacentral:misc_RNA from 1 species
AAGUCGUAACAAGGUCUCCGUAGGUGAACCUGCGGAGGGAUCAUUAACACGUUUUAAAACACGUUUUAUACCAACCAACCACGUGAACUAUUUAACACUCCUGGAAGAGAGAGAAUUCUGUCUCCUCACACUAAUGAUGAGUUCUCGCAAGGGAACGGUGUGUUUAGACUAGCACUGCAGUUUUGCGCCUUAAAAACACGUAACUCUGACUAUGUAAAGACCUUUCUUUUCUGGGCUAAAUGCCUCUCUCAUCACUGGGGCGAAAACAACCACUUUCACCAUUUCUAUAACCAUUGACUGAUCUUUCUCUUCUUCUCUACUAUGGCAACAUAGUCUUGAAGCAAUUGAAAACCUAAUCAAAUAUCUAAGCACAACUCUUAGCAACGGAUAUCUUGGUUCUC